UACGAAGGGGGCUAGCGUUGCUCGGAAUUACUGGGCGUAAAGCGCGCGUAGGCGGGUCGUUAAGUCGGGGGUGAAAUCCUGGAGCUCAACUCCAGAACUGCCUUCGAUACUGGCGAUCUUGAGUCCGGGAGAGGUGAGUGGAACUCCGAGUGUAGAGGUGAAAUUCGUAGAUAUUCGGAAGAACACCAGUGGCGAAGGCGGCUCACUGGCCCGGGUACUGACGCUGAGGUGCGAAAGCGUGGGGAGCAAACAGG
rnacentral:rRNA from 1 species